AAGAGACAGCAGCAGCCGGGUAAUACAGAGGGUGCGAGCGUUAAUCGGAUUUACUGGGCGUAAAGCGUGCGUAGGCGGCUUCUUAAGUCGGAUGUGAAAUCCCUGAGCUUAACUUAGGAAUUGCAUUCGAUACUGGGAAGCUAGAGUAUGGGAGAGGAUGGUAGAAUUCCAGGUGUAGCGGUGAAAUGCGUAGAGAUCUGGAGGAAUACCGAUGGCGAAGGCAGCCAUCUGGCCUAAUACUGACGCUGAGGUACGAAAGCAUGGGGAGCAAACAGGAUUAGAUACCCCCGUAGUCCCUGUCUCUUAUACA
rnacentral:rRNA from 1 species